rnacentral:tRNA from 1 species
GGGGAUUUAGCUCAGCGGCAUAAGCGCCUGCCUUGAAAGCAGGCAAUCGGAGUUCGAUCCCUG